rnacentral:lncRNA from 1 species
AGCUCAAACUUUUAAUAUUCAGGGAUGCCUAUACAGAACAAUUGGAAUAACAAAACAAAUAUUAAAGGCAAUACCAUGCCAAUAAAUAACCAAACAAUGCUCACAAAUAUACAAAAUAACUUCAUAGAUAGGAAUUAUUGCUACUCAAGAUAUUCACUACAAAUAUCUUUUAAAACAAUCGAUGAAAGAAUGUUCAAUGCCAUUCUAUAUUUGACUUGACAUUUUGUAAGUUGUAUAAAUUAAUAAUCAUUUGUGGAGUUGAUAGAUCAGUCCAAAUUAACAGAAGAAACAUUUCAAUGUUUCAAACUGCGAUAUUUUUCUUCCAUUUUUGCAAGCUAUCAUUUUGGGUUAAUUAUCCUAUCUAUGUCACCCAACAAAUUUUCCCAAAUUACAAGUAAAAUAGUGUAUUCUCUGAUCUAUUUCUUGUUUCUUUUUUACAUGUAGUUAUAAAAAUAAAUCAUUCUAUAUUUGCCAAAAAUACUUCUCACAAAUGCAUGUUACAACAUGUGCUUUCAAAAAAGAAAAAUAGAGUUCUCUUAAAGGAAAUAAAAUAUGGGUUUCACUAUGAUAUACUGCUGCACCCAAUUUGGCAGCAUAUGUACAGUGAAGCUAGAUAUUUCAAAAUAUACAAACUGCACCCAAUUUGGCAGUUGUAUAAUGACUUUUAAAUAAACUCAUCAUAAAUCUAUGCUUUAUUCUCACUGAAAUGCUAGUAGUUAUUACAUAAAUUUUCAAAGCACUCUUCAAUAUUUUUGCAUCGCAUCUUGUUAUAUAUUUUUGAGAUGACAAACUGUUCCUGGACUAUUAUCAAGUUAGUAACAGAUGUCAGAUUUAUUUGUUUUAAUUACUUUACAUAAAGUAAAAAUAAACAAACACUAUGCAUAGCAUGAACGUACAUCCAUUUCAUAUUUAUCACAUGUAAACAAUUCACAAUAUAUAAUGCAAUGAUGGAUUCAAUUCAAUUUGAUCACAAUGUAUAAAUAUUUAGUAUUAAAAUUAUGCACCAAUCACAAAUUCUAUAACAAAAACUACAAAUGUAAGCAAUAGGAUAUGAUAAUGGUCACAUCAGUAUAAUGUUCAGACACACAAUUCAGAUAAUUAAAAUAUUAUGUGUACUGAAAUUGAAUGGACCUUAUAAUGAAUGAGUACAAUUUUUUCUCUUUCAAAUCACUUUCUAUUGUUUAAAUCAUUUCAAUUAUUUGUAUGUAUUUCUUAAAUCGUUUCAAUUAUUUCUAUGUCUCAAAUGUAGCUAUUGCAAUUAAACAGAAAAACAAGACCAGAAUAAAUUUUUGAUAUAAUGUCAUUUAUUUUGCAAUAUGUUAUAAGAAAAGCAUAUGAAUGGAAAAAUCUAUUUUUUAAGAUUUAAGUGAUUCACUACCCUCUCAACAUACCAGUAUCAUUUGAUUUCUUCAUUUAAUACUGUCAUGAAAAACAGUAAGUACAGGGGUUGUGAGGGGACAAUGUUCCUAUAUAUUGAUGGAAUGAAUAGGAAGAGGGUCUAACUUAACGUGACAAUGAUAUUAAUUGCAUUAUAUAAAACUGAUGUUUUUUUUAACACAUAAAUAUUCUAUGUUUUGACAGAUGAAAAAUCUCUCCGAUGGAAACUUGUUUCAUACAAUUACUAUAGAAUUUUAAAAAUUCCUCAUAUGUUCCAUUUUUGUUUAUAAAUUUUUUCAAUUUUUACAAGCAAACUCAAAUGAAAUAGUUUUCAAUCAUGUGACAGCAAUAAUUUGUUCUCUGAUACAAUUUAUAGUGUUUUCCUAUAUGAACAGAACUGGUUUGCUAUUAUCAAACAAAAAUAAGAAAGUAUGAAUACUAUGACAUUUCAAAACUGAAAAUUCUUCAUCAGAAAGUAGAAUAAAAGGCCUUCAAUGUCCAAGCUGGUCAGUCGUAUCGCCACCAACAUGCAGAAAAAACUUGUUUAGUCAGUAUAAAAAUAUCAUGUGACAUUAAGCUGCAAAAUAACUUCUGUAAGCAAUUAAUCUUUUGAUGACCAUUCUAAAGAAUACUGAUUAUUUUUUCUUCAGCUAAGUUGAUCUAUAGAGUAUCCUGAAUGAUCAAAAGUGACUAUUUCCCUCCUCGAGCCAUAGAUGUAGUAAACAAGAGAAGUUUCUGCUGUUUCUUUUUCUUCUUUCCACCUGACUUUUCUGUUGUUUCUACAGGUAAGACAUCAUCUGGCAAAAAAGAAAUGAUUGCAUUAUUAUUAAUCAACAAUAAACAAUACCAGUGUACUGUGCUGUUGUCUGUAAAUAGUUUUAACUUGAAGCUGGUCCAAAAUUAAACAAGUGUG